AGUUUGAUCCUGGCUCAGGAUGAACGCUAGCUACAGGCUUAACACAUGCAAGUCGAGGGGAAACGAUAUUGGAAGCUUGCUUCCGAUAGGCGUCGACCGGCGCACGGGUGAGUAACGCGUAUCCAACCUGCCCAUCACUUGGGGAUAACCUUGCGAAAGUAAGACUAAUACCCAAUGAUAUUUAUAGAAGGCAUCCGAAAUGAAUUAAAGAUUUAUCGGUGAUGGAUGGGGAUGCGUCUGAUUAGCUUGUUGGCGGGGUAACGGCCCACCAAGGCGACGAUCAGUAGGGGUUCUGAGAGGAAGGUCCCCCACAUUGGAACUGAGACACGGUCCAAACUCCUACGGGAGGCAGCAGUGAGGAAUAUUGGUCAAUGGGCGAGAGCCUGAACCAGCCAAGUAGCGUGCAGGACGACGGCCCUAUGGGUUGUAAACUGCUUUUAUAAGGGAAUAAAGUGAGUCUCGUGAGACUUUUUGCAUGUACCUUAUGAAUAAGGACUGGCUAAUUCCGUGCCAGCAGCCGCGGUAAUACGGAAGGUCCGGGCGUUAUCCGGAUUUAUUGGGUUUAAAGGGAGCGUAGGCCGGAGAUUAAGCGUGUUGUGAAAUGUAGUGGCUCAACCUCUGCACUGCAGCGCGAACUGGUCUUCUUGAGUACGCACAACGUGGGCGGAAUUCGUGGUGUAGCGGUGAAAUGCUUAGAUAUCACGAAGAACUCCGAUUGCGAAGGCAGCUCACGGGAGCGCAACUGACGCUGAAGCUCGAAAGUGCGGGUAUCGAACAGGAUUAGAUACCCUGGUAGUCCGCACGGUAAACGAUGGAUGCCCGCUGUUGGCCUGAAUAGGUCAGCGGCCAAGCGAAAGCAUUAAGCAUCCCACCUGGGGAGUACGCCGGCAACGGUGAAACUCAAAGGAAUUGACGG
rnacentral:rRNA from 1 species